rnacentral:tRNA from 1 species
GCCUUUAUAGUUAAAUGGAUAUAACGGAACUCUCCUAAGGUUCAAUUGUAGGUUCGAUUCCUACUAGGGGCACCA